CAGCCGUAAACUAUGCUCGCUAGGUGUCAGGCAUGGCGCGACCGUGUCUGGUGCCGCAGGGAAGCCGUGAAGCGAGCCACCUGGGAAGUACGGCCGCAAGGCUGAAACUUAAAGGAAUUGGCGGGGGAGCACAACAACGGGUGGAGCCUGCGGUUUAGUUGGACUCAACGCCGGACAACUCACCGGGGACGACAGCAAUAUGUAGGCCAGGCUGAAGACCUUGCCUGAAUCGCUGAGAGGAGGUGCAUGGCGUAGACGUCU
rnacentral:rRNA from 1 species